CUCCAUGGCGGCUGUGUGCCGGAGACCUAUGGUCUGCCGGUGGACUCCUUAGCCGGUUCGCUAACCGUCACACAGUCGCCACCUUU
rnacentral:antisense_RNA from 1 species